rnacentral:lncRNA from 1 species
GUUAAUUGCUCUUCUAGAUGUUGAUGGGUUUUGUUGGUGUAAGUGGUUUUGUGCUUCCUUUUAACUUUAUGCGGUUUUAUUUCCUUUUCUAUGUGAUAUGUGUUAUUCAUUUUGUUGCUAACCAUAAUAUUUUUUGUGAUUCUCAGGUUGUUAGCAUACUAAUGAUGGUGAGUACCCUUUUCUUCAUAUUUGUUUUUGCUCUUUGUAUUAUUU